AUAAAAUAAGGUGAGAGAUCUGAGAAGAGAAUAUGAUCAUUAUUAGGUAUUGUAUAUGAUUCUUGCAAUAUGAUCCCUAUUGUAGCUAAAAAAACUCAUUCUUUAAUUCAUUAUUUUCUUUGGUAAUUGUAUUCUUCAUUUUGUGAUUGCAUUGCUCUUUUGGAUAAUGUAAACCAUUAUGCUGAGCUUUUCUACAAUAUAAAUACAAAUCCUCUUAACGAUGUUAUUGAAGUAGAGAGAAUUUGCUCUAAGAAAGCACUAGGCUUUUGGCUAUUACUAAUUCCUCAAUCAAAUCUCAAGAUAAAAAAAAUAUCAAUUUUAUGUAUAAAAUAUUUCCUAUAGAAUCAAUAAAGUCAAUACAUAUGCCUUAAGUACCAAACAUCACCAAAAAUGUGAUAAAAAUAUUAUAAAACUUUAUAUAUCUU
rnacentral:lncRNA from 1 species